rnacentral:rRNA from 1 species
AUUGAACGCUGGCGGAAUGCUUUACACAUGCAAGUCGAACGGCAGCACGGGGCAACCUGGUGGCGAGUGGCGAACGGGUGAGUAAUACAUCGGAACGUGCCCAAUCGUGGGGGAUAACGUAGCGAAAGCUACGCUAAUACCGCAUACGAUCUACGGAUGAAAGCGGGGGAUCGCAAGACCUCGCGCGAAUGGAGCGGCCGAUGGCAGAUUAGGUAGUUGGUGGGGUAAAGGCUCACCAAGCCUGCGAUCUGUAGCUGGUCUGAGAGGACGACCAGCCACACUGGAACUGAGACACGGUCCAGACUCCUACGGGAGGCAGCAGUGGGGAAUUUUGGACAAUGGGCGCAAGCCUGAUCCAGCCAUUCCGCGUGCAGGAUGAAGGCCCUCGGGUUGUAAACUGCUUUUGUACGGAACGAAAAGGCUUUCUCUAAUACAGGGGGCUCAUGACGGUACCGUAAGAAUAAGCACCGGCUAACUACGUGCCAGCAGCCGCGGUAAU